UACGUAGGGGGGCUAGCGUUGUCCGGAAUCAUUGGGCGUAAAGCGCGUGUAGGCGGUUCGGUAAGUCCGCUGUGAAAGUCGGGGGCUCAACCCCUCGAAAGCCGGUGGAUACUGUCGGGCUAGAGUACGGAAGAGGCGAGUGGAAUUCCUGGUGUAGCGGUGAAAUGCGCAGAUAUCAGGAGGAACACCAAUUGCGAAGGCAGCUCGCUGGGACGUUACUGACGCUGAAGUGCGAAAGCUAGGGGAGCGAACGGG
rnacentral:rRNA from 1 species